rnacentral:rRNA from 1 species
AUUGAACGCUGGCGGCAGGCCUAACACAUGCAAGUCGAGCGGAUGAAGGGAGCUUGCUCCUGGAUUCAGCGGCGGACGGGUGAGUAAUGCCUAGGAAUCUGCCUGGUGGUGGGGGAUAACGUCCGGAAACGGGCGCUAAUACCGCAUACGUCCUGAGGGAGAAAGGGGGGAUCUUCGGACCUCACGCUAUCAGAUGAGCCUAGGUCGGAUUAGCUAGUUGGUGGGGUAAAGGCCUACCAAGGCGACGAUCCGUAACUGGUCUGAGAGGAUGAUCAGUCACACUGGAACUGAGACACGGUCCAGACUCCUACGGGAGGCAGCAGUGGGGAAUAUUGGACAAUGGGCGAAAGCCUGAUCCAGCCAUGCCGCGUGUGUGAAGAAGGUCUUCGGAUUGUAAAGCACUUUAAGUUGGGAGGAAGGGCAGUAAGUUAAUACCUUGCUGUUUUGACGUUACCAACAGAAUAAGCACCGGCUAACUUCGUG